rnacentral:misc_RNA from 1 species
UCCGGUUUGGCACCGGCAGUCCUCCCAGAGUCCUCGCCAUGACGCGUUAGCAACUGGGAGCGGGGGUUGCGCUCGUUGCGGGACUUAACCCAACAUCUCACGACACGAGCUGACGACAGCCAUGCAGCACCUGUGCACGGACUCCGAAGAGGGACCGAUGUUUCCACCGGCUUUCCCGUGCAUGUCAAGCCCAGGUAAGGUUCUUCGCGUUGCUUCGAAUUAAACCACACGCUCCGCUGCUUGUGCGGGCCCCCGUCAAUUCCUUUGAGUUUCACCCUUGCGGGCGUACUCCCCAGGUGGAUUACUUAUCGGUUUCCCUUGGACGCUAACUGUGUAUCGCUAACAUCGAGUAAUCAUCGUUUACAGCGUGGACUAC